rnacentral:misc_RNA from 1 species
GUAUGGGAGCUGCAGGAGCUGCUGUUCAGUAUUUGGGUUAUACUCCUGGACUUUUUAUUGUUGGACUCUUUGCUAUUUUAAUUCUGUGGAUGUAUGCUAACUUCUGGAUAACUGGAACAUUGUUUAUAGUUGGAGGUUACCUCUUCUCUCUGAAUCAUGCACGUUUGGUGGUCUUCAUGGCGACUGUAUAUGCUAUUUAUUGUGUGAAAGUUCGAGUUGGAUGGCAUGGUGUUUUUCUAUCAAUAAACCUUACAUUUUUAUC